AAUCUGAGAAGAUUCAGAGUAGGGGGGAGGGAGUGAAGGAGGGAGGAGGUUUAGUUAAUUUCUGCUAGGGAACUCCUUUGGGUUUUUUCUUUUAAUAAAGUUUUUAAAAGAUCAAAGUCAGAUAGUUUUCUUUCUCACCUUUCAGGCCCAAGAAAGGUUGAACUCUCUCUCUCUUUGUUUAAGGGUAAGCUCCUUGAGAGGAAAGACUGUCUAGAUUUUUCUAUUAUUAUCAUGAGGCACUUAACAAGAUACUUGGCACAUGGUCACUGAAAGACUUUAAGAUACUAACAAGUUUACUCACCCCAGAAGACUUUCUCAUUGGAUAAAAACAAAAAUGGAAUAUCAUUUUGAAAAUUUAAUCAUUUAUUUGUUCAUUCAUCAUUUAUGUAGUUACACAUUCAUUUAUUUAUUCAUUCAUUUGUACAUUUAUUUAUUCAUUUAGGUGUUUGUUUAUUGAUCAACCAAGCUAAAUUCCAGGAAAAUUGUACUUUCCCUUUGGCAGAAAUGUCAGGGAUUUUGUCCCAGUGACCAAGGUAUCAGAAGG
rnacentral:lncRNA from 1 species